GACGUAGGGCGCGAGCGUUGUCCGGAUUUAUUGGGCGUAAAGAGCUCGUAGGCGGUCUGUCGCGUCUGCUGUGAAAACUCAGGGCUUAACCCUGAGCUUGCAGUGGGUACGGGCAGACUAGAGUGCGGUAGGGGAGACUGGAAUUCCUGGUGUAGCGGUGAAAUGCGCAGAUAUCAGGAGGAACACCGGUGGCGAAGGCGGGUCUCUGGGCAACUACUGACGCUGGAGGAGCGAAAGCCGUGGGGAGCGAACAGG
rnacentral:rRNA from 1 species